rnacentral:rRNA from 1 species
GACGAACGCUGGCGGCGUGCUUAACACAUGCAAGUCGAACGGAAAGGCCCUGCUUUUGUGGGGUGCUCGAGUGGCGAACGGGUGAGUAACACGUGAGUAACCUGCCCUUGACUUUGGGAUAACUUCAGGAAACUGGGGCUAAUACCGGAUAGGAGCUCCUGCUGCAUGGUGGGGGUUGGAAAGUUUCGGCGGUUGGGGAUGGACUCGCGGCUUAUCAGCUUGUUGGUGGGGUAGUGGCUCACCAAGGCUUUGACGGGUAGCCGGCCUGCGCGGGUGACCGGCCUCAUGGGGACUGAGAUACGGCCCAGACUCCGACGGGAGGCAGCAGUGGGGAAGAGUGCACAAUGGGCGGAAGCCUGAUGCAGCAACGCCGCGGGCGGGAUGACGGCCUUCGGGUUGUAAACCUCUUUCGCCUGUGACGAAGCGUGAGUGACGGUAAUGGGUAAAGAAGCACCGGCUAACUACGUG